UGGCCAGCAGUAUCCUAAAGGUAUACUUUGUAGGCAGCCUAUAGUCAUCAGUGUUGCUUUAGUUGAAUGCCUGUUAUCUAAUUUUUGUCCUUGAUCUUUAAUAUGCGUUGUUAAUCAUGGAUUUUGAUAAUUUAAAAUGGUGGGUCAUUUUUUUGAGUUUCUAAUUAAUGUAUGAUGUGUAGUAUACUUAACAUUUUUGUUAAGUUUGCUUUCUUUCAGU
rnacentral:misc_RNA from 1 species